AGCAUUAAUAGUAUAGUAGGUAUUUUAAAUUUAGGUUUUAAAGGAUUUUUAUUGCUUU
rnacentral:tRNA from 1 species